rnacentral:rRNA from 1 species
UACGGAGGGUGCGAGCGUUGUCCGGAAUCAUUGGGCGUAAAGGGCGCAUAGGUGGCGUGGUAAGUCUGUGGUGAAAGCGCGGGGCUCAACCCCGCGUCGGCCGUGGAUACUGCUAUGCUAGAGCACUGUAGAGGCAGGCGGAAUUCCGGGUGUAGCGGUGGAAUGCGUAGAGAUCCGGAAGAACACCAGGGGCGAAGGCGGCCUGCUGGGCAGUUGCUGACACUGAGGCGCGACAGCGUGGGGAGCAAACAGG